UACGUAGGGUGCAAGCGUUAAUCGGAAUUACUGGGCGUAAAGCGUGCGCAGGCGGUUCCGCAAGUCAGAUGUGAAAUCCCCGGGCUUAACCUGGGAACUGCAUCUGAAACUAUGGAGCUAGAGUGUGUCAGAGGGGGGUAGAAUUCCACGUGUAGCAGUGAAAUGCGUAGAGAUGUGGAGGAAUACCGAUGGCGAAGGCAGCCCCCUGGGAUAACACUGACGCUCAUGCACGAAAGCGUGGGGAGCAAACAGG
rnacentral:rRNA from 1 species